UUCGUCUAUCCGGCCCACCCCUAUCACACUAUCAUCCGACUUUCAUAAAUACGUGGCACUUCUUUUUUAACCAAAAAAAAAAAAAAAGGUGAAGCUUCCUUAACACACCUUCUCCUUCACGUAUCAUCAGACAUUACCCACCAUUUUUCCUUCAAAAACUCCCUCCCAACAAAUCCUCCAGCCACCGGCGCACCCACCCACCGCCGGCCAGUCGCGCCACCCACCCAACGCCGGCCAGUCGCGCCACCCACCCAACGCCGGCCAGUCGCGCCACCCACCCACACCUGCCAGUCGCGCCACCCACCCAACGCCUGCCAGUCGCGCCACCCACCCACACCGGCCAGUCCCGCCGUAUCUCGCUUGCUCUCGCCGAGAACCCUCAGAUCUCGCUGAAUCUCGCCGGAAAUCCCUCUCUUCUCGCUGGGUCUUGCCGUAAACUCUCAUUCUCCCGCAGGAUCUCGCUUGCUCUCACCGGAAACCUACGGAUCUCGCCGAAAUUCUCUUGCCGGAUCUAUCUCGCCGGAGGCAAAGUCUCCAAGCUAUUUUGCUACACUCAGACAAAUCUUCCCAAACAUCCAACAAAUUGAUUCUGAUGUAUUUGCUUAAAAGGUUUUUGUGGCUACAGCUGUUGUGAGGACCAUUGUAGUAGAAAGCCCCAGCCAAAAGUAAUAAGCCUACGUGAUUGAGUGUUACUGCCUUCAGCUUAAUAGGAUGAGUGUUCACUAAUCUGGCUUUCAGGCAAACUGUGGUUCUGGAGGUUGCUUAAAAGGCAAAGUAGUGGUUUUGGAAGAACACCCUUUAUACGAGGAACUGUAUGUUGAUCAAGCAUGGCAUAUUCAAGAGGCCCACAAAGGCCAUACCUAGAUUGCUUUCAGACACAACCUUUUCCUUUAACUCUUUGAAGCUUGCAGAUAGCAAAGGAGAACAAGGAAAAGUAUUUGCAAGAAAUGGAGUCUUACAAACAGAAGAAGGAUGAAGAAGAUGCCAAUCUUAUUUGCUGUUUGAGAUUGUAGAUAGUUACAAAGUUGAUUUUAUUUUCAGAAAUCUCUUGUCAUGCAAAUGGAUGGCGUUUUGAUGUGUAUGUGUUAAAGAUGGUGGUGCACAGCACUUUAUUGUUUGGAUUUACUCACGAGCUUUGUUGUUUGGGAUUGAAGUCUCUGAGUUUAAAGAGUGAUUACAUAUUUCCAAUAUGAUUUUAUUUAAUAUUUCA